GUAGCUCGCUUCGGCAGCACAUAUACUAAAAUUGGAAUAACAUAGAGAAGAUGAGCACGGCCCCUGCGCAAGGAUGACGUGCAAGUCUGUCAAGUGUUCCGUGAUUUU
ensembl:snRNA U6 U6 spliceosomal RNA